rnacentral:rRNA from 1 species
ACGGGGGGGGCAAGCGUUGUUCGGAAUUACUGGGCGUAAAGGGUGCGUAGGCGGCGAGGCAAGUCUGGUGUGAAAUCCCGGGGCUCAACCCCGGAACUGCACUGGAUACUGCCUUGCUAGAGUACCGGAGAGGGAACUGGAAUUUACGGUGUAGCAGUGAAAUGCGUAGAUAUCGUAAGGAAGACCAGUGGCGAAGGCGAGUUCCUGGACAGUUACUGACGCUGAGGCACGAAGGCCAGGGGAGCAAACGGGA